CGCUCGGUCUCGGGAGCGGCAGCCUGGCCGCUGCCCUGCGGCGCGCGGCUUCUUCCCUUCCCGCGCACCGACACGACCCGAGGAUACCCAGAGAUGAGUGAGCAGUGCUCUGACCAAAAUAGGAAGACCUAUUGCACAUUUUUGUAGCUGGCCAGUUUAUGAAGGAGGACUCCCACGAAAGUGGUAAUGCCCUAGCAUAGAAGUGAUUUCUGCUAUCACUAAGAAAUUGAUGGUGAUGGAGGUGCAGCAGACUAUUUGGAGAACAGCUACAAAGGCAAGUUAAACUAACUUUUAUGAUACAAGCCUGAUGUUAGCUAUGAAGAUUUUUUUUCCCUUAGGAAACUACUUAGCAUUUUUUAAAUUAAUUUAAGAUUUCUUGCUUGUUAAAACAUUGUUGAAGAUUGUUUAAGACAAUGAAACACCUAUGGAGUUUUGCCUCAGAGUUAGUGUAGGAAUCCAUCAGUCAGAUACUUUGCAUAAAAAUUAAGUAUUAGUUUACAAUAGAGAGCAUCUUGGGUUUGUUUCAAUGUUUCAAUUGUAAUCCACAGCAAAAAUUGAAAGUUAGUAAACAGUCAUUCCGUAAUGCUUCACCGGAACUUCUAGAUUAUUUUACUAAAUCUGAGAUUAAUUUUGCCUUCCGCAGUAGGGGAGUCCUGACCCAGUAGACCAGCAGAGGGCAUGAGUCCCCCUCGUGCCCUUCCUGGGGUUCUGACCAGGCCCACCCUUUGUAGGAGCUGAAUCCUAGUGGGUAGCUGCAAGUUUGUCUGACCUGAAUCCACAAAAAGUAGGAAGAUAAUUCUUUUAGGUUGAAAGGUUCAAAAUUAGACAGGACUCCUUGAAUUAGAAAAAAAUCAAGCAAUUUCAGUGCAAUAUUUUAGCCAUGUGUUAAGGGAGGCUAGUUGAAAGUUCUUAAUGCCAGCCACCAUCAUGAGCAUUAGCUUCAGGCCUCUGAAUAGCCUCAGAGGAUAAUCAGGAGUAAAAUACUUUGCACUGUGAUGAAGUUAUGGGUAACUGAUGUAAUGAGGAUGUGAACAGAAAAGGUAACCAUUUUUCAAAUGGAUCACCUGUUAGAGAUCUUCUGUUAGCCAGGAAAAAAAAAAAGGGGGGGCGGGGGGUGAAUGCCAGACUCUGCUUUUAACCUUCUCUUAAGAGUAAUAAGGGUUGUAAUUGGCAGUUGGGAGAUGGAUCUAGGGUUUUUUUCUCCAGCUAGCUUUACUCCAUAAGGUGUCAGAGUUACUGAGAGCUCUCAGUAUGUUUGGAAACAAAUCAAAAUGCACCACCUUGCUUUGGCAGGGGGAAGAAAAAGGGGAAAAAAUAGAGACAUGCUUGUUAGGCUGUCAGUGUUAUUACAGUUUAGACUGUCCUUGAUGUCACACACGUUUAAAUGGGAAGAGUGGUAAAGCUGGAACCAUAUGAAGCUAUACCUGACUGUGCCUCUAGAGCAACUACCCAAACCCACUCUUCAAGCACACUGCCUCAAAAAUGCAGCAGCUAAUUUUUUAAUCAUUACAAUCAGGGUGCCUAGCUAAGGUAUCCUUCUGAAGUGUUAGUUGUCCAAAGUAGGUAAAAAUAUGCAAAUAAAACUUGUUGCUGUACUAGAAAAUUCAAGAUUUGUUUGCAGAGCCACACAGAGAGCUUUGAAAAUGUGACUGGAAAAUGAAAUGGAAGAUGUAGAUUUAUAACAAUCAGACUAGAAAUAGUGAGUAAAUAAAUGAGAGACUGACAGAAAUAAAAGUUCUGCUGUGUAAGAUCUCAGUAGAUUAAGUUCAGUUUUCCAGCUUAAUGAGCCUUGACACUGCAUACCCUCGAGAUCUGUAAAUCUUUUAAGGUGAUUUACCAUUUUCUUAAGGGAGUCACACUUGCAAAGUUUCUUAUGAUCAGACAAAUGUAUCUGUCUGGACAUAAAGGCUAUAUUUCAAUAGGAAUCAUACGUACAUUACCUUAAUUCUUGAUUUAAUAUAUGAUCUAUUCCAGCUGAUUAUAGGUAAUUUUGGCCAAGGUAAUAAGCAGUCAGUUGUUCAGAUAGUUCUGUGGGCAGUUGUCACAGCACCUCACUUCCUGUCCAGUGAGCUAAGAACACUUUCCAAGAGUGCAGAAUAUAUCUUGAAAAAUGAGAUACUGACUUAUAUAUAUCAAGAUACUUUAGGGAUUCAAGGAAAGCAGAUUGUGAAGGUAUUAGUUUGUCAGCUCUCUUCUUUCCGAGAAGCUUUUAAUUUUAAUUUUAUUAACAUUAUGUUAGUCUUUACAAUUUCCCUGAAGAAAAGAAUACCCUUUAGAAGUAAUGAUUUUCUUAUUAUUUAUUGUGGUUAAGAAGGUUUAAAUGUAGCAAUCUGUGCCCACUUAACGUAUUGGGUUAUUUUAUUCUAUUCCAUUUUUCUCUAUACUGUUGUUUAACUCAUUUGAAUGUUAUAAACAGGUACUGGAGAUUGAGGAAAAUUACAUCUAUUUUCCGACCUGUUUGCUAAUAUAAUAUUUACAUCACUUGUAACUAGCUAACCCAUUGUCAUGACCUUCAGCUGUUUACAUCAGGUCUUAAUUUUAUCAUUUUCUCGUCUGUAACUAUGGCUGCACUGAUUAAUUUAACAAUGCAAGGUGUGUCUGAUUACUUCCUUUGGAAGACGGAGAAUGUCACUGCGUCCACUGUAAGCCUGAAUCUCAGGAAGUGUAUUAAUCAAUGUAUAAUGCUUGUUGUAGCUGUACUUCAGAGCUGUGCACUUUUGUUAGAUUCAAUAUCUUGAUUUUUCCCCUCAGUAGUCCUGUCCUUCUUUGCUUGGCUUUAUAUUUAGAGGUUAACAACAACAGAUACGCAGAGCUAGAGCUUUCUAGUGUAACUGAAAAGAUGAAAUAUGGAUAAAGUGAACUGAUGCCUUUUCCAUCACAGGUUAUAUAUGAGAUUUAAAUCUGCCCAUAAGGAUGGGGGAGGGGAAAACAGUGGUUUAUAAUCCAACUCAGUUAAAGAGCAGUGCUUUAGCAAGUAACACGGGUGGAACUUGAAGAAUACCUCUCUACACAGCGAGAGCUCCUUACCAGAAUAGCAAAAAUCCAACUUUAUUUUUAUUAGCUUUCCCAAGAUCUAGAAGGUUUCAAUCUGUUAGUAACAUAAAAGCCAAAUUAGUGUGACUUUUAGGGCGUACAGUUCAUAAGAGUUGUCCAAGAGAGGCCCAGGAGCAAGGCGUAUGCUGACUCAGCUGUCUUUGCACAUAGUCAUGUCUGCUUUAGCAAGUAGAUUAGUCCAGAAGCAGCCCAGCAGCAGAGCAGAAGUUAUGAGAAUGUCAGAUGCCCAGCACCAAUGCACAUUUCAGGAGUUUCACGUUCACCUGAUGCAAUGUAUGAUUCUUUAAAGAAAAGACUUUCUUAGGGUGUCUGUGGCAGCAUUCAUAGGAUCAUAGAAUGGUUUGGGUUGGAAGGGACGUUAAAGAUUGUCUAGUUCCACCCCCCCUGCCACAGGCAGGGACCCUUUCCACUAGAUCAGAUUGCUCAAAGCCCCGUCCAAAGUAUUCUCAUGCUUUUCUGUUCUACUUGUAUGAUUUCCUUAAAAUGCUGAUUCUUCUAGUUUGACAAACAAUAGUUAAAAUACUGUUUAAAAAUACUUCGCUUUUGAUAGAAUCUCAGUUAUGAAGUAUUCAGUAUUUUUUUUUCACAUUGCAUCCUUCUGUCCAGCAUCUUGGUAUUCAAGCCGGCAUGACUCUAAUAUUAUAAAAUCUCAGGGGUUUAAUUGAUUUACCACUAAAGUUGCUAUGUAAACAACACAAUCAUUGGAAGUAAGUGAUUCCACAGGGAAUUAUUCUGAAGAAAUUAAUAUCUGGAAAAAUAAGGUUAACACAUUUUCUUUUUAUCUGAAAGACCAGUACACAUACUGCUCAAGAAUUCUGGGAAGCAAGCGUGAACUGCUUUGUGCUACUGCUGCCUCAUUUAAUGCUGACAUGACUGCAGCUGUGAGCUGUAUUGUAAGCAUCUAGGUAUAUACAAAUUACUCCUAUAAACGGAUGCAAUUUCAGAAGUGGUAAGAGUUCCAUGACAGUGGACUAACACAAUACACUUAGCUUCACAGAGUUCUAAUUCUGAAGUAUGGAAGAGAAUCCAGAUGAGCAGGCAGUUUACAAAUAAUGGCACUGAUGGAGCAGCAAGACCUUUCACAACAAUCUUAGCCCAUAUGGGUAUUACAAGGCAGGAUAGAGGAUACAUGAAGUAAUGGAGGAAUGUUUUUAGGAAACAGUUGUAAUAGAAUUGCACUGCCAUUACCAUAGAAGUUGGCACGACAGAGUCCUCCAGUUUCUUGUACCUUUGCGCUAAUCAACUUUUCACUUUCUCAUUUAAUCUGCUUUAUAAAUCCAUUUUUGUUUUUGUAGCCACUUGUGCUUCUACUAAAUUCGAGUUUUGAGCUUGUAUGCUAUAAGACUCAAACCAACCUCAUAUGGUUGGGUUUUUAACUUGAAUGUUGUACUCUAAAAUGUGGCACCCCACCCAUUGGCUGUAUACAAAAGAAGGUUUUAAAUUAACAGGAGAGUUAACAUUCUUCCAAACCUCAGUCUGGAGAAUGUAUAAUUAUUCUAAGUCAUUGUUAGAAGCUAUUUUAAAAGGAAAUGUUGCCUGCCUUCUGAGGUUUUUCUACAUACAUAUACUUGGGCAUGUCAGCCUUUCUUUAAAACUACAGCAUUAUUAUUCUUGGUAGAAUAAGCAGCAGUAGCACACUUCAAAGUACAGAAAGUAAGACAAGCAGCUAGGCUCCUCCAAGUUUAUAUUUCUACCUUGCCACUGACAUUGUAUAGAGCUUCAGUUAUCCUGGGUCUCAUUAUUUAAAUCUGUAAAAUUGAGCUUUCAGUUUUUAAACCUAUGCAGCUGUUGCAGUGAUUAUUUUUUUACAUAAAAAUGUACUUUCUUCGGUAAACUGCUGAAUCUCAGGUAUUAGAUAGUUUUAUACAUUUUUCUUUGUUACCUUUUAGAGACUGUAGGAAUGUACUGGUUUAACUGAGGACAGAACCUGUCCUGUAGUGAAUAUUGAUUAUAUUUUAUUUAUAUUUUCUCAAGAGUGAAGCUUCUCUGGCUGUCAGUUGAAACAUUUCAGUAUUGAACUUACUGCCAUUCUUUCCUAUUCUCAAAGGGUCUCCCAAAUCAUUACCUCUAAAAAAUAUUUUAAUCAAUAACCCACUUUUUUCUUGCCGAGAAAAAAAAGGUUGUCUUAAUUAAAUUUUAUUUUUACUAUAAAAAUAUAACCCACUUGAAAUAUGUAUGGUCCCGUCUUAUAGUAAGUCAAUCAGUUUUAAAUAAACCCUCCCCUAACUAGGCUGUCUGAUCUUUACUUCUGGUGCCUACUCUUGAUUCAACUUUUUUCCAGCCACAGGCCCCUUACAAGACGUCCUUCUGUUAACAGAACAGGAAGUUCCUUAUCUUAUAAAAUUGUGUGACUCCAAAUUUAAUUAUAUGCUUUAAGUGGAUAGAAAAUAUGGCUUGCUCAAAGAGAAAUUACCUGGGCUGGUACAAGAAAUUUCAGGGCCUACGCCAUACAAGUCAGAUGAGAUGAUGUGACCUUCAACUCUUUGAAUAAAUGACAAGUGUCUUAAGCUUAAGAAGAAAAGACGAUGGGCAGAAGCCAAAAGAAAGUGAUGAAAAACAAAAUUCAAAGACCCAAAAAAAUCAUAAGCAGCAGCCUACCAGUAAGCAGUUACACCUGUUUCAAUAGUGAACCCUCUCUAAAGGAUUGUGCUGCUCAGUGUUCUCACAUAGGUUCCUAAGUCCAGUAUUUCAAGUAAAAUUGGGACUGCUGCAGCUCCUCCUCUUCCUUCAACUUGCAGUCAUAAUGAUCAUAAAAGGAGCCACCUAAUUCCAGUCCUUCCAGUUAUGGGGUAAUCAGCUAAUUAUGCAGACUACAGAAAACUGAAGGGGGAUGCAAUAUAUGUGCUACAGUACAAAAUAUUUCUUUCUUUAUGUGAAAAAAGGUGAUUGCUUGGUGCUUAUAUUAUUUAGUGUUUUCUUUCUGUGCAAAGGAAGAUGCAUUCCCUUUCCUAGGAUCAGGGAUGAAGUCAUUACAGAGAAUUAACUACUUUGCUUUACAUUUUAAUUCUACUUCAUUGCAUGCAUAUGCAAAACACAUUUGCACACAUACAUAGGCAAACUAUUUAUUAUUUCAGCAAAAAAUAAUAAAUGAAAAAUACUACUUGAUUGGAGGUGAAGAAAAUGAACCUUCAGCAUCAUCUCAACUCACACUUAUCCUUGAACAUCCAUGCAUUUGAAAGAGUGAUGUUAAAGUAGUGAUUUUUGGUUUUUUAGAGAAAUACUAUACAGUUAUUUACUUUGAUGGCUGUCAGAAAGAACAAAAUCUAAACAAAACAAUCAGUAUAGUAUUUUACAGAAUAAAGAUUAAUUAGAAUUGCUUAUGUAAUUAAGUUUGGGUAUGCCUCCCCUUGACCCUCCAUUCUAAAUAAGACUUGGACACAAGCAAAGAUUAUCUGUUCCUGGCAAAUCCUUCCUAGGGAUUACAUGGCACAUAAACUUAUAAGGGUUUAUCUUUUCUUCUGUCUGAGAAAGGAAAUAACUAGAGCAGUAUUAAAACAUUAAUGUGGCAUGAAAGAAUUCCAAACAGAAUUAAGAAGUUAAAAGGUUACGAUUCUCACAGGAAUAUCAAAUCACCAUUAAGUUAAAGUUUGCAGAUCUUAUGUGCAGACCACACAUAAAAUUCAGAAUACUCCAUCUAUGCAGUACUGUUUUGUUCUGUGAAGUAAGAAUGUCAUGUAUGCAUAAGCUAUUUAUUUUUAAAGAUAAUCUGAAUACGGACAGCAUAAAAUUUUGUAUGCAGCACCAUGCUAUUCCUAUUUUUUGGGAUGCUAUAGUCACAAAACAAAGCUAGGCAAAAUUCCUACCAUUCAAUAUAAUUUAAACUAAAAUAUGGUAAAGUAACUCUGAGACAAUUAGAAUACGCUAUGUUUUAUACUAUAAGAAGGUAAAAAUGUAUUUAGUACUUGCCAUUUGAAAAAUUUUCAUGAUCACUGUAAAAUGGCUAUUUGGGAAUAUGUCUGUUAUUUCUGCAACCUUUAAAAGGCUAAUCAGUGAAAGCUACAACCUAAAUUUGAAACUAAGAAGUUACCAAAGGCGGCCUUAGAGGAAUGAACUGCUUUGUUACUAGGCACCAUUUGACUGCUAGUUCUUGAGAUCAUCUAUGACUUGAUGCUAUAUAUAUUUUCGGAUAAGUGCUUUAAAGAAUUUAAAUCCGUUGAGCAAGAAUUCACACCUCUAACAGUUGAAGAGAAAACUAUUCUUUUUAAAGCUUUACUAUGACUGAUUCCCAGCUCCUGUUUUUUUCUUGCUGUCCUGUACAUCCUGAUGCCAAUUAGCAAGGCUAAUUACACACAGAGUGGCAAGCUCCCUUAUUCUGUAUAUUAAAUGCAAAAAGAAUGGUGGUUCCAUCACUACUAGUACAAAAGAGGUAGUUCAUGGCAUUUGAAAUAAUUGAUUUUAAGAUGGCAUCUCAUAUGCAGUUAAAGCUUUU